CUUACAUCUGCACAUCAGCCAUAGUGGCAGAAGCUUGUCCUGUCAACUGUUGUCACCUGCAUUCAGCCAGACUGAGAUUUCUGCAAGGUUUUUAGUUUCUCAGUUACUUCGUAAAGCAAUUUCUGGUGCAUAACGGGCUACCAUUGAACAUCACCUUGAGAAACACUGCUCCCACAUCAGGUUAAAGAAAGCAUUAAAUACAGCUGCAGUUUGUGAGUGGCACAGCACCAUUGUUGCAUAUUAAUAUUGCUCUCAGUCCACUUAAUGAGGACACUGAGAAAGAUUUUAUGUAUUUAUUUAAUGUUGUUGUAUUUGACAAUUGCAUGGGUUUUUUUCCUUUGAAUUCAUAAAACUUCUUAAUACCAACA